AGAGAGAGAGAGAGAGAAAGAGAGAGAAAGGAAGAGAAAUAGAAAAACACGUUGUCGAGAGAAAAGCAAUAAAAUAAAUGAAUAAAAAAAAAAGAAAAAAAAAGAACAAGUGUAACUCGAGGAGAAUCGAAACGUUCUAAACUAACACGAGAAUCCGUGAUAUUCCGUGGCUUGCAUUGUAUAUUGUACACCCACUGAGUCUGCCCCUCCUUCGCUCCUACCUCCCAGAAACGCCCUCUAUGAUCCACGUGGCUAAGAAUUAUAUAUAUAUAUUAUAUAUAUAUAAUUAAUUUAAAAAUAUAAAAUUGACUUUUUUCUCUGUAAUUUUUGCUCCCCCAAAAUCGUGAAUAGAAAUUAUAUUAUAUUUUGCACGAAAAAUAUUAAUUUUAAAUAGAUGCGAUAAAGAGGGAAAUAUUUUAAAGGCAAUAUACCGAGCAAGAUGAACGCAAUGCAUCGUUAUUUUAUGAAAUUUAUUAUGAUAUUAAUCGAUUCGAAAGUUUCGUAAAAAUUUCAUUUUUCUCCAUAAUCCAUUUUGUUAAUUUUUCGGUCGAAUCCAUAUAUACGUAUAGAAUGCAAGAUAAUCAAGAGGUGGAAAAGUGAGAUUUGACAAGAUCAUUGAGAGCAUUGACUUACCGAAGAAGCUGCUUCGUGCUUCGUUCCGUAACGGGAAAUCACUUGAUACAUCAGAGUCGAUGAACCGGCUACUUUCAUCGGGUUCAUGUUCCAGGCAAGCGAUCGAUGUCUCGGCAAAAGGAACAAGAAAAUGGUAAUCCACAGUAUCGGAAAUCCAUUGGUGAAGUUGACCUAAAUAACGAACCACCAAAGCCAGAGAAGAUUCACUUUAUUUCGUACGCGCGCAAACGAAUGACGCAACGCGAAAGUGUACCAUCUGGUGUCGAAUUUAAUAAUCAAUGUCAAUCACGUGACUGAUCUUCGGUAUACGCAAUAAGUAGCUUGGUAAUCGUUGUCGUCGCGUUGUGGAUACGGUCGUUCGGCCUGCGUAAAAUACGACGAUAAAAUAAAGAAAAUCGGCCUGUUCAAAAAUCAGUACCUCGGGAGAAAGGCAACAACCGAUAAUAAGCGUGGGCUCUCCACGAAACAGAUAUCAGAGGAUCAUCAGUGGACACCUUGGAACCCAUCAGUGCAGCAUCUCGGAUUCAGCUACCUGAGUUUAACCCCCGCUCGAAGGAACAACCCCCCACCAGCCUAACCAACCGAGCAACAAUUUAAUUAAUUCCUCGUUCUCCGGCGACAUGCCAGCAGCCGGGCAUCAAACGGAUGAAGCGGAUGUCAGGCGAGGCAAAGCCGAGAAAACGACCUCCGAGUCGUUAUUACCUGUCCAACCAGCCGAUGGAAGCGCGUCACCAGCCGGAGGAUCCCUGUGCAGCAGGUAGCACACGUGAACGUGGUUUUCGCGAGGGGGCAAUGGUGUUGGGCGACACUUGUCUCUUCGUGAAAAACUGGACGUUCCUGCUCGGUUACCAGUGGCGUCGAAACGAACGGCCAACCACGCUUCGUCAACAAUUGAAUAUUAUCGAAGAGCGAACAUGUUUAUUAACGCGAUUAUUGUAUCUUUUUUUUAUUAUUUCAAAUAAAAUUUCUACAAAAUCAAA